UACGGAGGGAGCUAGCGUUGUUCGGAAUUACUGGGCGUAAAGCGCACGUAGGCGGCUUUGUAAGUUAGAGGUGAAAGCCUGGGGCUCAACUCCAGAAUUGCCUUUAAGACUGCAUCGCUUGAAUCAUGGAGAGGCGAGUGGAAUUCCCAGUGUAGAGGUGAAAUUCGUAGAUAUUGGGAAGAACACCGAUGGCGAAGGCAGGUCUCUGGGCCACUACUGACGCUGAGAAGCGAAAGCAUGGGGAGCGAACAGG
rnacentral:rRNA from 1 species